UACAGAGGUCUCAAGCGUUGUUCGGAUUCAUUGGGCGUAAAGGGUGCGUAGGCGGCGCGGUAAGUCGGGUGUGAAAUCUCGGAGCUUAACUCCGAAACUGCAUUCGAUACUGCCGUGCUUGAGGACUGGAGAGGAGACUGGAAUUCCCGGUGUAGCGGUGAAAUGCGCAGAUAUCGGGAAGAACACCCGUGGCGGAAGGCGGCUACUCUGGGACGGUACUGACGCUGAGACGCGAAAGCGUGGGGAGCGAACGAGG
rnacentral:rRNA from 1 species